rnacentral:rRNA from 1 species
UUAAAUUGAAGAGUUUGAUCAUGGCUCAGAUUGAACGCUGGCGGCAGGCCUAACACAUGCAAGUCGAACGGUAACAGGAAGAAGCUUGCUGCUUUGCUGACGAGUGGCGGACGGGUGAGUAAUGUCUGGGAAACUGCCUGAUGGAGGGGGAUAACUACUGGAAACGGUAGCUAAUACCGCAUAACGUCGCAAGACCAAAGAGGGGGACCUUCGGGCCUCUUGCCAUCGGAUGUGCCCAGAUGGGAUUAGCU